CGGCGGACGGGUUAGUAACGCGUGGGAACAUACCCUUUACUACGGAAUAGCCUCGGGAAACUGAGAGUAAUACCGUAUGUGCCCUUCGGGGGAAAGAUUUAUCGGUAAAGGAUUGGCCCGCGUUAGAUUAGAUAGUUGGUGGGGUAAUGGCCUACCAAGUCUACGAUCUAUAGCUGGUUUUAGAGGAUGAUCAGCAACACUGGGACUGAGACACGGCCCAGACUCCUACGGGAGGCAGCAGUGGGGAAUCUUAGACAAUGGGCGCAAGCCUGAUCUAGCCAUGCCGCGUGUGUGAUGAAGGCCUUAGGGUCGUAAAGCACUUUCGCCAGAGAUGAUAAUGACAGUAUCUGGUAAAGAAACCCCGGCUAACUCCGUGCCAGCAGCCGCGGUAAUACGGAGGGGGUUAGCGUUGUUCGGAAUUACUGGGCGUAAAGCGUACGUAGGCGGAUCAGAAAGUAUGGGGUGAAAUCCCAGGGCUCAACCCUGGAACUGCCUCAUAAACUCCUGGUCUUGAGUUCGAGAGAGGUGAGUGGAAUUCCAAGUGUAGAGGUGAAAUUCGUAGAUAUUUGGAGGAACACCAGUGGCGAAGGCGGCUCACUGGCUCGAUACUGACGCUGAGGUACGAAAGUGUGGGGAGCAAACAGGAUUAG
rnacentral:rRNA from 1 species